rnacentral:rRNA from 1 species
GACGAACGCUGGCGGCGUGCUUAACACAUGCAAGUCGAACGGAAAGGCCCUGCUUUUGUGCGGUGCUCGAGUGGCGAACGGGUGAGUAACACGUGAGUAACCUGCCCUUGACUUUGGGAUAACUUCAGGAAACUGGGGCUAAUACCGGAUAGGAGCUCCUGCUGCAUGGUGGGGGUUGGAAAGUUUCGGCGGUUGGGGAUGGACUCGCGGCUUAUCAGCUUGUUGGUGGGGUAGUGGCUUACCAAGGCUUUGACGGGUAGCCGGCCUGAGAGGGUGACCGGCCACAUUGGGACUGAGAUACGGCCCAGACUCGAACGGGAGGCAGCAGUGGGGAAUAUUGCACAAUGGGCGGAAGCCUGAUGCAGCAACGCCGCGUGCGGGAUGACGGCCUUCGGGUUGUAAACCGCUUUCGCCUGUGACGAAGCGUGAGUGACGGUAAUGGGUAAAGAAGCACCGGCUAACUACGUG